rnacentral:rRNA from 1 species
GUGCCAGCCGCCGCGGUAAUACGAAGGGUGCAAGCGUUACUCGGAAUUACUGGGCGUAAAGCGUGCGUAGGUGGUUCGUUAAGUCUGUCGUGAAAGCCCCGGGCUCAACCUGGGAACGGCGAUGGAUACUGGCGAGCUAGAGUGCGGUAGAGGGUGGUGGAAUUCCCGGUGUAGCAGUGAAAUGCGUAGAGAUCGGGAGGAACAUCAGUGGCGAAGGCGGCCACCUGGACCAGCACUGACACUGAGGCACGAAAGCGUGGGGAGCAAACAGGAUUAGAUACCCCCGUAGUCC